GGCGUGCUUAACACAUGCAAGUCGAACGAUGAAGCCGGGGCUUUUUGUUUUGGUGGAUUAGUGGCGAACGGGUGAGUAAUACGUGAGUAACCUGCCCUUGUCUUUGGGAUAAGCCUGGGAAACUGGGUCUAAUACCGGAUAUUCUGCUUUUGCCGCAUGGUGGGGGUUGGAAAGAUUUUUUGGAUGGGGAUGGGCUCACGGCCUAUCAGCUUGUUGGUGGGGUGAUGGCCUACCAAGGCGUCGACGGGUAGCCGGCCUGAGAGGGUGACCGGCCACAUUGGGACUGAGAUACGGCCCAGACUCCUACGGGAGGCAGCAGUGGGGAAUAUUGCACAAUGGACGCAAGUCUGAUGCAGCGACGCCGCGUGGGGGAUGAAGGCUUUCGGGUUGUAAACUCCUUUCAGUACAGAAGAAGCAUUUUUGUGACGGUAUGUGCAGAAGAAGCGCCGGCUAACUACGUGCCAGCAGCCGCGGUAAU
rnacentral:rRNA from 1 species